GUAAUGGCAGGUCAGCAUACUGCCGUGAAUACGUUCCCGGGCCUUGUACACACCGCCCGUCACACCAUGAGAGUUGGGAAUACCCGAAGCCUGUGAGCUAACUAAUAGAGGCAGCAGUCGAAGGUAGAAUCAAUGAUUGGGGUGAAGUCGUAACAAGGUACC
rnacentral:rRNA from 1 species